UGGGAAUGCUAUAAACGUGGGUGGGGAAGACUUCAGAGGAGGAAGUUUUAUGGGGGAGAGCAGGAGCUCAGUUUGGGGCAUGUCAAGAAUGAGAUGCCUUAUUAAACAUUCGAGCCAAGACACUGAACAGAGCUGAGUCUGGAGUUCACAGAGAGCCAAGCUGGGGACAUGGAUUUGCAAUCAAUCAGUGCACAGAUGGCAUCAGUUCCACGGGACUGAGAGUUCACCAGCGUAGCGAGAACAGCCAAAACCAAACCAAACCAAAACGUUCUCCACAGGUCCCAGGAGUGAGCCAGAGACUUUAAGCUGAAAGGUCAGCCAUCCAAGGAGGGAUCAGGAAGGGGAAGAGGAGGAACAGCAACGAGGGAGGGAGGACCGCCGGAAGGGUGAACAGUCUCAGACUGCAAAGCAAGUCAGCACUACCACAGAGGGAAUCCCAAACUCGCUGCUGAGAACAGAACAGCUGUGCCCUCGCCGACUGGGACCCGAGUGACAUCUACUGGAGCAAGCAGGGGCUGCACGUGAGCAGGCAGCCAUUCGGUCACUCCCCGUCAUUCCAACACAAUCGAAUUUGUGUAGAAAAUUUACAUGCAUCAUAGGCUAUUUAUGAAUAUAUGCACACGUAGAAAGAGGAAAAAUACGCUUGGAAAUGGUAAACAUAACUUCAAGAUAGUAGUUACCCUUGGGUUCGGUAGGGGUGAAGGAGUGGUAAGGGUUUUAGUUUUAUCUUUAACCAUUUCUUUUUUCACUUACUUAUUUGUAGAGAUGGGAGUCUCACUAUGUUGCCCAGGGUAGUCCUGGUCUCAAGCAAUCCUCCCACCUUGGCUUCCCAAAAUGCUGGGAUUACAGGCGUGAGACACCAUGCCUGGCCACAAUUUGGUUUCUCUUUCAAAAGAUCCGAUACCAGUGUGCCAAAGUAUUGACAUCUAUUAAAUCUUUCAGGUGGUCCUACUGAGGUCUGUUUUUCUGUGCUUAUCUCUAAGUUUAAAAUCGUUCAUAAUAAACAUAUAGUUUAUAUUAAUAGUAAUAAUAUACAGUAUAUAUUAUACUAUAUAUUUAUUAUAUAGUAUAUACUUUAUAUUCAUUAUAUAUUGUAUACUUACAUUUAUGGAAGGAAAAUAAAAAACAAAAAUGGAAAAUUUGUGGUCCAGAUUCUUGGUCCCAAUGGUAGCAGGGCAGUUUAAUAGCAAAAGUUCUUAAUACUUGUUGGCUGCUGUUACCAUCAUUAAUAAGUAUCCUGGAGUUUACUGGAGUAACUGAACAGCAGUCGAAGCUCAUGUAUAGGCUAGAGGAGAAUCACGCUCUUCAACAGUAGUGACAAGAUGAAGAUACACUGAGAAGACUCAUUUAUUUGCUAUUAUUGAAAAAUUGUUCAUACCCCAUAGGAAGAUGUGGCAUAGAACAUCAGAAUGUUCUUAGAAUUGGGAAACUCUCAGGUAGGAGGCUGAAAGAGAAAGCCAAAAUGACUAUUUUAUUUCCAGAUUAAAG
rnacentral:lncRNA from 1 species